ACAAACAAAAUAAUCAGGAUUCAAAACUCAGCUUCCUUCAACACCUGACCUGUGUAUGAGGACUUCAGAGAUUCUGUUUGUUAGAGAUUUAACAAAAAUCUGAAAGAUCAUCAACAAAUAAAGUUUGGGAAACACACAUGGGACUGACACACAACUGACAAAAAUAAAAAUGGAACAAGAUUUUUUCUUUUCUUUUUCCUUUUGUUGUUCUUGUGCCUGUUGUGCUUACUAGUUGCAGGUAAAGCCCUUUGUAACUGCUAUAGUGACUUGUUCUUAUAUAACUGACUGAUCUGUGCAGCAGAGACAGGAAACAGCACUUGUUCAAGUUAUUUCCUUGUUUGAGCUGAACAGGCCCACAUCGCCCACAUCGCCCACAUGUGCAUCAGUUACUGAUUAAACCUGAGCUCGGAACCCAAAAGAUGAAAACCAGCCUCCCAUUUUGCUCGUUCACUCAAAUCCUCAGACUUCAGAUGUAAAGAAUACACAGAGCACAGACGAUGAUAAAACAGACUUCAGGAGGAAAGAAUCCACAAAGUACAGAAGAUCAUUUAAAGAAGGAAAGCAAAAGAAGAGCUGAAAUGAACGAUGAACCUCGGACGCUGCGUCUUUCUCUUGGGUGUUACUUUCUAUUUACAUAAAUCAUGAUGGCGGAA